rfam:Gossypium arboreum cultivar AKA8401 contig_877_1, whole genome shotgun sequence.
UGUUAAAAAUAUCAUCCAUUUCUAUUAUUAAAAACUAGCAUGGCUAACAAAAUAACUAAAAAGUUACAUGUGGCGUACCACGUGUACCUUAUAUUGAUAUAUAAUUACAAAUUUUUAACAGUAAAAAUGAAUGAAAUUUUUAACA